rnacentral:rRNA from 1 species
CCUACGGGUGGCUGCAGUGGGGAAUAUUGGACAAUGGGCGAAAGCCUGAUCCAGCCAUGCCGCGUGUGUGAAGAAGGCCUUCGGGUUGUAAAGCACUUUCAGUGGGGAAGAAAGCCUUGGGGCUAAUACCCUCGAGGAAGGACAUCACCCACAGAAGAAGCACCGGCUAACUCCGUGCCAGCAGCCGCGGUAAUACGGAGGGUGCGAGCGUUAAUCGGAAUUACUGGGCGUAAAGCGCGCGUAGGCGGUCUGAUAAGCCGGUUGUGAAAGCCCCGGGCUCAACCUGGGAACGGCAUCCGGAACUGUCAGGCUAGAGUGCAGGAGAGGAAGGUAGAAGUCCCGGUGUAGCGGUGAAAUGCGUAGAGAUCGGGAGGAAUACCAGUGGCGAAGGCGGCCUUCUGGACUGACACUGACGCUGAGGUGCGAAAGCGUGGGUAGCAAACAGGAUUAGAUACCCGUGUAGUC